rnacentral:rRNA from 1 species
GAUCAUUAUUGAAUAAACUUGGUUAGGUUGCUGCUGGUCUUUAGGGACAUGUGCACAUCUAAUUCAAAUUUUAACCACCUGUGCACCUUUUGUAGACUUGGAUAAUUUCUCUGAGGAAACUCAGUAUGAGGAUUGCUGUGCGAAAGUCAGCUUUUCUUGCAUUUCCUAGUCUAUGUUUUAUAUACCCCAAUAAGCAAGUAAUAGAAUGUAAUUAAUAGGCCUUUUGUGCCUUUAAAACAAAUAUAACUUUCAACAACGGAUCUCUUGGCUCUCGCAUCGAUGAAGAACGCAGCGAAAUGCGAUAAGUAAUGUGAAUUGCAGAAUUCAGUGAAUCAUCGAAUCUUUGAACGCACCUUGCGCUCCUUGGUAUUCCGAGGAGCAUGCCUGUUUGAGUGUCAUGAAUCUCUCAACCUUUUCAGUUUUUAUUAACUGGUCUGGCUUGGAUUGUGGGGGUUGCUGGCUUUAUCCAAAGUUUGCUCUCCUUAAAUGUAUUAGCAAUGUCUUUGCUGACCAUCUCUGGUGUGAUAAUUAUCUACGCCAUUGGGAAAUCAGCAUAUGCUUCUAAUAGUCUGUUUGGACAAUUUUUGACAAUUUGACCUCAAAUCAGGUAGGAUU